CCGGCGUGGCCUCUAGGAGACGGCGCGGCUUAGCCCUGGGCUUAAGUCUCCCCGCCUUGGAACGAGAAUGACUCAGUCUCAAAAUUCUUCUUUAAUCUUGAAUGUGUCCAUUAAGAAGAGCAUUAUGGAGUGCUUCAGAAGUACACAAUGUGAAGAAGCUUUGCUGAGCCCCUACUGUGUCUCAUAAGUGCUCGUUGCUGGCCUACUUUGAUCAGGAACCACCUUGAGAAGAAGAUUCUGGGAGCUGGCACUUUUCCCUGAGCUGCAGGAUACAAUGGGAAGUCAGUGACACCAAGUCACAA